AUUGAACGCUGGCGGCAUGCCUUACACAUGCAAGUCGAACGGCAGCACGGGGGCAACCCUGGUGGCGAGUGGCGAACGGGUGAGUAAUGCAUCGGAACGUGCCCUGAAGUGGGGGAUAACGUAGCGAAAGUUACGCUAAUACCGCAUAUUCUGUGAGCAGGAAAGCAGGGGAUCGCAAGACCUUGCGCUUUAGGAGCGGCCGAUGUCGGAUUAGCUAGUUGGUGGGGUAAAAGCUCACCAAGGCGACGAUCCGUAGCGGGUCUGAGAGGAUGAUCCGCCACACUGGGACUGAGACACGGCCCAGACUCCUACGGGAGGCAGCAGUGGGGAAUUUUGGGACAAUGGGCGCAAGCCUGAUCCAGCCAUGCCGCGUGAGUGAAGAAGGCCUUC
rnacentral:rRNA from 1 species